GACAGAGGGUGCAAACGUUGUCCGGAUUUAUUGGGCGUAAAGAGCGUGUAGGCGGCCAGGUAGGUCCGCUGUGAAAGUCCGAGGCUCAACCUCGGAAUGUCGGCGGAAACCCUCUGGCUAGAGUCCGGAAGAGGAGAGUGGAAUUCCCGGUGUAGCGGUGAAAUGCGCAGAUAUCGGGAAGAACACCCGUGGCGAAGGCGGCUCUCUGGAACGGUACUGACGCUGAGACGCGAAAGCGUGGGGAGCGAACAGG
rnacentral:rRNA from 1 species